rnacentral:rRNA from 1 species
UACGUAGGGUGCGAGCGUUAAUCGGAAUUACUGGGCGUAAAGUGUGCGCAGGCGGCCGCGCAAGUCGAGUGUGAAAUCCCCGAGCUUAACUUGGGAAUUGCGCUCGAAACUACGUGGCUGGAGUGUGGCAGAGGAAGGUGGAAUUCCACGUGUAGCGGUGAAAUGCGUAGAGAUGUGGAGGAACACCAAUGGCGAAGGCAGCCUUCUGGGCCAACACUGACGCUCAUGCACGAAAGCGUGGGGAGCAAACAGG